GACGAACGCUGGCGGCGUGCUUAACACAUGCAAGUCGAACGAUGAAGCCUUUCGGGGUGGAUUAGUGGCGAACGGGUGAGUAACACGUGGGCAAUCUGCCCUGCACUCUGGGACAAGCCCUGGAAACGGGGUCUAAUACCGGAUAUUACUCUCGGGGACAUCCUCGGGGGUGGAAAGCUCCGGCGGUGCAGGAUGAGCCCGCGGCCUAUCAGCUUGUUGGUGGGGUGAUGGCCUACCAAGGCGACGACGGGUAGCCGGCCUGAGAGGGCGACCGGCCACACUGGGACUGAGACACGGCCCAGACUCCUACGGGAGGCAGCAGUGGGGAAUAUUGGCACAAUGGGCGAAAGCCUGAUGCAGCGACGCCGCGUGAGGGAUGACGGCCU
rnacentral:rRNA from 1 species